UCGUAGACCUAUCUGUUUCUCCUUUCAUUCUACAGUGUUUGCUUAAUAUAUUUAGGAGCUCUGAGGUGUGUUGCAUGUACAUUUAUAACUGUUACAUCUUUUUGGUGAAUUGACUGUUAUCAUUAUCUCUUAUAACAGCUUUUGACCUUAGGUCGAUUUUGUCUGAUAUUAGUAUAGCUACUCCUUCUCUAUCUUAUUUCAUCCUUUCACUUUCAACCUGUGUAAGUCUCUCAGUCUUCUGAUGGUGGAAUUCAUUUGUAUUUUUAAAGAUUAUCAUUCUGAUGCAACUGACUAACCUGGUGACUGUGUCAUGAGGCCCACAGCCAAGGACUGCGGUGACCAGUUGCUGUGGGGAGACUCCAGCACAUUACUGACGGGACUUCCCGAUGGGGAAGGACUUCCUGGUGCCACGCUGUUGAUUGUUUUCUGCAUGGCUUAUGAUAUGUUGUCAUUACCAUGGGGAUUACACGAAACAUCCUGAAGUUAGAGCAAUCCAUUUUAAACUGAUGUUUUGUUGAUGGCUGACGUAGCGGACUCAAAACAACGAGCACUUCUGCUUGAUACACAGAUUCUCCGAGGUUCCUGUGGAGCCACAGCACCUCCUGUCUUGGCACUUCAUAGUUGUCUCAUCGAGUCCAAGGCUGCCUCCCAAGGGUCUGGCUGGUAGACCAUGAAGUUGAUUCCUGCCUUAAGCCUGGCUCUGCAAGAAGUUGUCCUAUAUUCUCACCAGUCACAUUUUUGGUACUAGAACGGUGCUUUUUAUAGUGCACUCGUAACUGGACGCUGAAAUCACAGCCUGGCCAUUUGGAUGUUCAACCGAUGCUUUAUGCUGCUGAGUCCUUGGAACUCACUCCCCGUGCCGGAACUCACUGGAGCUCAGGUGUGUGGCACUACCUUGUUUCUCUGCAGCUGGUAUUGCAAACAUUUUUCAUGCAUUUAUUUCCCAUUGUUUACUUUUGAGUUUUUGUUUUGUGAGACAGGGUCUCAGUCUG
rnacentral:lncRNA from 1 species